UAAGAAGAUUUUCUUUUCAUGUCUAAUGCUUGAGCUUUAGUUUAUGAACUGAACAUCUUUCUAUUGUGCAUAUCCGGGGGUCAACAUUUGAACCCCAGUGUGAUGAUAACCUAAAACCUGUUAUUGGCAUGCAAUUUGACACCUGGGGGGAUGGUAUGACAUUCUACAAAAUGUAUGCUCAUGAUGUCGGGUUCUCUGUUCGCACAUGGACAACACACAAAGAUGAACAUGGUGUAGCAGUGUGGAAGAGGUUUGUCUGUGCUAGGGAGGGUUGGAGGAAGGUGGCUCAGGAAGAGGGAAGGAUAAAGCCUAAACGAAAAUUCAAGUUAACCCGAUGUGGUUGUGAGGCUAUGAUUGGACUGAAGAGGCAGGAUGACGGCAAAUAUGUGGUAGCCCGGUUUGUUCAAUCACACACUCACCAACUUAUUUCGCCAAGUAAGAGACAUCUCAUCAAGUCAAAUAGAGAAGUAAGUAGUGAGUUGAGGAGCAAACUACUUACAUGUCAUAAGGCAAUGGUUGGAGCAUCUGCAGCAUAUCGCUUGCUUAGUGUAGAGAAGGGGGGUCAGCAAGAGUGGCAAGGUUAGAGUUGUUAGUUUCAACACCAGUACUAAGGUAACACACUGUUCUUGUAGGAUGUUCGAAUCACUGGGUAUCAUUUGCCGUCACAUAAUUGUUGUCCUCAAGAAUGAAGGGUUUAAUGAAAUUCCUAGUCAAUAUGUGUUGCAUAGGUGGACUAAAAUGGCUGCACGCCAGCUUUCCUAUGACGCCAACGGACAUGAGCUAGAAGGGCCAUCUACAUGCCUUUCACCUACCAUAAGGAAGUUGUACUCAGAAACAUGUUCAAAUUUCAGCUUGGCACUUCAUGCAGCGAAACAUUGUGAGGAGAAAAUGAGAUAUUUUCACAAGGCUGUUGGUGAUGCCUUCGCACAAUUGGGACAGAUGGGCCCAAUUAGUGAGCAAAGUAAAGUUCAAGAAUUUGAAUCCUUCGUUGGAACAUCAUUCCCAAGUGUGAUCAAUAUUCAUCCACCAGAUGUAGCGAACACAAAAGGGAGUGGUAAGAGAUUGAAAAGGGGUUCUGAGCAAACUGUGAACCAAAAGAAAAAGAGGGCGAAUAGCAUCCAAAAGGUCCCAGAUAAGUAGGAAUAGUUGUUGUUGGAUGGGUGUCAUGGAGCACUGGAGUGCUGAAUAUUCUGACAUUAUCCCUGCCUGCAUUUAUCUGGAUAAUUUAAUAGAAUGUGUAAUGUUGGAGAUGUAUGAAUAUCUAGCUUGUAAAAUCGUAGUGUUACUUGGAUGUAACUGAACCAGAUAUCUCAGAUUGUAUUUCACGCCCUGUGAUAUCUUCAUGUGUACUUUUGUUUUUGUCUUAGCUUCUGUUCUGACUGCAUUGUGCCUGAGAAAAGGGUUUUGUUAUCUUCAUGUAUGCUUCUGUUGUCUGAGCUUCAGUUUUGAGUGCAUUGUACGUGCAAAAAUUAUUUUCUGCUUCAGGACCAACUCAGGAGCUGGUUUAAGUCAAGAUUUUAGUGGUAUAUAGCUUUUAUUUAUCUGUUGUUAA